AGUACUUGCGGUUUUGUUGAACCUGGCUUCCUCUCCUCCAGACUAAGCAGUCUCGGAUCCUUAAGCCGCCCCCCACACGAUUCGUGCUCCAGCCUCUCCGCAGCUUCACGCCUGCUCUGGACGCCGUGCUCUGCUCCACGGCCCCAACGGCCUUUUUGAAGCAGGUGGCCCAAAACUGAACGAAUGCCCAUGUGGGUCUCUGGGCUCUGUCCAUUACCAUCAGUGCUUCACGCCCAGACUGUGCUUUGGGUUUCCCAGAGCUGCCCUGUUCCUCCUCCACUCGAUGUACUGGAGACAUCGUCACAGACGUGUCAGAUAACUGAGGAGACUUUAACAAACCUGGGUCUGAUGAAGAUCCUGCAGAGCGCUCAUUUUGUGGAAGAUGUUGGCAGUUAUUCUGUGCAGUGCACGCUCUGCUGACGGUAACCUCAAGCCUGAGGAACACCUACUACAGUACGACAGGAAGCAGAGAUGGUUCUGCUGGAGGUAUAGUCUCUUAUACCUUGCAUAUAAUGCCUCAGUCUUUCCAUGAGAAACUACUGUAGGAACCAGCAGCUCAUGGCAAGGCCAAGUGAGAGAAAAAUGGGGAUGCAGGAGGAGCAUUUGGCACACAGUUUCUAACUCCCAACAUAGAACUUAGGAUGUCCCGAGGACAUUCCUCCCUAACCAGUCUUCCUUGUUCUAAGGAGGGAAGCUGAGACAGAGAAAUAGGAUGGCUGGACAGAGACCCUGCUCUCUUGAGCAAUGAAAACAUGGAGACAGAUGCAUCUCUGGAGCUCAAGAUUCACCUGUAAGCUUUAGUGCUAUGCAGCCAACACUGGUCCACCUAGAGGUACAUGUAUGGUCCAGUGCCUCUGAGGAGAAACUGUUGCUUCAGAGCAAAUGAGGUACCAGAAGAAAAGAGAAAGGUGUUUUGAGGUCUGAUAGUUGCAGCUCUGCCUUUACACUUAUCCUCUAUGGAAGUAAGGACUGUUACUGCAGCCAUACACAGAAAGUGACUGAUGUUUAAACUGUGGAAAAGGCUGAGAACCUGUCCUUGGGUGUCAGAGCAGUCACUGGUGAAGGGUGAGGGAACAAAACCAAAAAACUAAUUCACUACUUCCUUUGAAUCAGUCAUGUCUGCAUAAAUGCCAGACUGCUAAAAGGACAAAUGCAAGUCUGCUCACUGUCAAACUGCCUUUGGUUUACUUGUUAUGGAAGGACUAGCAAAAAAAGGAAGCCGUCAGCCAAGUCGACAUUUUAUUUAGAGAUACCCACAGUAAAAUGCACAAAUACAUCUUGUUCACCGAUUUUCAGGUCACACAACUUCAAGUAUCGGAAAAACAAACUGCAGUUAAUUACAGUUAUCCGUAGAAUGGAGCAGUAGUAGAAGAUUCAUCUGUCAGACUACAUCAUGGGUAAUGACGCUCAGGUAUUUAAAAAGUGCAUGGGUCGUUGCCACAUACACUGACUCGGUUUUUCAAAGAGCAAUGUCUUUCUGGCAUGUGAGCACAGUAACACGGUUAAUAUAGGAUGGAAAAUGAAGCUCUUGAUUUGAUCUGGAAAUGCAUUCCCCAAAAGCAAAUUAAGAGCUGAGACUGAGGCAUGGGAAGUAAGCUGUAAAAAUCACAGUUACAUACUCCAUGUGGUUAAGCAACAUAGAGGUGGCCUAAAAUGAUUGUUAUUCUUCUUAUUCAGAAGACUCCUGAGCACUUGAUUGUAUUCAGCAAGCUGGCAGAAGAGCUAUAAUCAGAGAUCCAAACUCUUGCAUUCACACUGAGUUCUUUCACAACUGGAAACCUCAGUCCUCACAUUUCCAAAAUCCUGUGUUCCACUUGCAAGCACAUCAACUGGAUCACAGAUUGCUGUGUCUACUUUUGUAUUCCCAUACAGAGGAGAAAGUAGGAGGGGGUGCUGAUUUGGGAGGAGCGGCAUCGGUUUAAAGCUGUAUUUAAGUCAGAUGGAACCUGGUCUCUUUUCUCCAGUGUCUCUCCAUAGCAAGGAAGUUCAGCAGCUUGCACUGCUCCAUGCUC